rnacentral:rRNA from 1 species
CUAACACAUGCAAGUCGAGCGGCAGCGAGGUUAGUAGCAAUACUAACUGUCGGCGAGCGGCGGACGGGUGAGGAACACGUAGGAACCUGUCCUUAAGAGGGGGACAACCAAGGGACACUUUGGCUAAUACCGCAUAGACGCGAAAGAGGAAAGCUGCUCGCAAGGGUGGCACUUAAGGAGGGGCCUGCGUCCGAUUAGCCAGUUGGUAAGGUAAAGGCUUACCAAGGCGAUGAUCGGUAACUGGUCUGAGAGGACGACCAGUCACACUGGGACUGAGACACGGCCCAGACGCCUACGGGAGGCAGCAGUGGGGAAUAUUGGACAAUGGGGGCAACCCUGAUCCGGCGAUGCCGCGUGGGUGAAGAAGGCCUUCGGGUUGUAAAGCCCUUUAGGUUGGGAAGAAGGGUGUUGUAGGAAAUGACAACAUUUUGACGGUACCGACAGAAUAAGCACCGGCAAACUCUGUGCCAGCCGCCGCAGUAA